GAAAGGGAAGGGUGGUCCUGGGAGGGGACAUUAGGACUUAGCACGAGAGCCACCGGGCUCUGGGCUGCGGAGGAGGUUGGAGGUGACCUUCCAGAAGGAACGUGGGACAAGGGAGCAAGUGAGGACCUGGUGGGUAGUGGUUACUCUGUGAGAAGCCAGCAGCACCAACCAAAUAGAAGGUGGAGAAGUGGCCCCCAGCUUCCCAGUUUGGGUUUGGGCCAAGACAACUAAGAAAAGGGUCCACCGUCUUCACUCCAGGUCAGAUGACCCUGCAUUGUAUCAAGUAGAAAAAUGUCUAACCAAGACAGAGGAGAAUACGAACCCUCUCAGCUCAUAGACAGGUGAUGAUGUGGUUUCCAACUGACUUUCAAGCAAACAGAUUUCCAAGCGUGCUUGAAGAGGGCAGUAAAUGAGAAGGCACAAGACUCUUACUCUGAAGGAGGACGAUCAGAACGGCAUAGCUGCCUUCUUGGCCUGUCACAGAAUUAAAUGGCAAAGGGUUCCGAGGACUAUCUAGCAUAUACUGCUGUCACUACAGGGGCGUGGUCUGUAAGAGGGAUAACCCAGCCCCCUAAUAAGGCAAGCAUGUCAUUUUCUGUGACAGAUGCAAGAAGAGAGAGGGGUUUGCUGGAAAUCGUGGCUGACCACCUCAGAAGGACCCAGAAGACCCGAACUUUCUGGUUUUGCCUUUCACCUUGCUCUGAAACUUCUCCCAACACUGGAAGACAAGAAAGUUCCGCCCUACCUCCGCCCCACCUCCGCCCCCCGGACCAGGGAGAUUCUUCUCUUUGGGCAAGCAGGCUUGCUGGGCAAUCGUGAGCUGCUGAGUUCCCAUCCCCAUAGAAAGCUGGACAUGGACAUGCAUGCCUGUUUCUGCAGCAUGCUCAACUCCAGGAGCUCUCUGGUCUCCUAUAAAUAAAGGAUAACACAUUCGGCCUUCUUACCAUUUCAAAAUGCAAAA
rnacentral:lncRNA from 1 species